UGGGGAAUAUUGCACAAUGGGGGAAACCCUGAUGCAGCGACGCCGCGUGGAGGAAGAAGGUCUUCGGAUUGUAAACUCCUGUUGUUGGGGAAGAUAAUGACGGUACCCAACAAGGAAGUGACGGCUAACUACGUGCCAGCAGCCGCGGUAAAACGUAGGUCACAAGCGUUGUCCGGAAUUACUGGGUGUAAAGGGAGCGCAGGCGGGAAGACAAGUUGGAAGUGAAAUCUAUGGGCUCAACCCAUAAACUGCUUUCAAAACUGUUUUUCUUGAGUAGUGCAGAGGUAGGCGGAAUUCCCGGUGUAGCGGUGGAAUGCGUAGAUAUCGGGAGGAACACCAGUGGCGAAGGCGGCCUACUGGGCACCAACUGACGCUGAGGCUCGAAAGUGUGGGUAGCAAACAGGAUUAGAUACCCUGGUAGUCCACACCGUAAACGAUGAUUACUAGGUGUUGGAGGAUUGACCCCUUCAGUGCCGCAGUUAACACAAUAAGUAAUCCACCUGGGGAGUACGACCGCAAGGUUGAAACUCAAAGGAAUUGACGGGGGCCCGCACAAGCAGUGGAGUAUGUGGUUUAAUUCGACGCAACGCGAAGAACCUUACCAAGUCUUGACAUCCUGCGACGAUGCUGGAAACAGUAUUUUCCUUCGGGACACAGAGACAGGUGGUGCAUGGUUGUCGUCAGCUCGUGUCGUGAGAUGUUGGGUUAAGUCCCGCAACGAGCGCAACCCUUACUGUCAGUUACUACGCAAGAGGACUCUGGCAGGACUGCCGUUGACAAAACGGAGGAAGGUGGGGAUGACGUCAAAUCAUCAUGCCCUUUAUGACUUGGGCUACACACGUACUACAAUGGCGUUAAACAAAGAGAAGCAAGACCGCGAGGUGGAGCAAAACUCAGAAACAACGUCCCAGUUCGGACUGCAGGCUGCAACUCGCCUGCACGAAGUCGGAAUUGCUAGUAAUCGUGGAUCAGCAUGCCACGGUGAAUACGUUCCC
rnacentral:rRNA from 1 species